rnacentral:rRNA from 1 species
ACACUCCUACGGGAGGCAGCAGUGGGGAAUUUUGGACAAUGGGCGAAAGCCUGAUCCAGCAAUGCCGCGUGUGUGAAGAAGGCCUUCGGGUUGUAAAGCACUUUUGUCCGGAAAGAAAUCCUUGGCUCUAAUACAGUCGGGGGAUGACGGUACCGGAAGAAUAAGCACCGGCUAACUACGUGCCAGCAGCCGCGGUAAUACGUAGGGUGCGAGCGUUAAUCGGAAUUACUGGGCGUAAAGCGUGCGCAGGCGGUUUGCUAAGACCGAUGUGAAAUCCCCGGGCUCAACCUGGGAACUGCAUUGGUGACUGGCAGGCUAGAGUAUGGCAGAGGGGGGUAGAAUUCCACGUGUAGCAGUGAAAUGCGUAGAGAUGUGGAGGAAUACCGAUGGCGAAGGCAGCCCCCUGGGCCAAUACUGACGCUCAUGCACGAAAGCGUGGGGAGCAAACAGGAUUAGAAACCCUGGUAGUCCCAUG